rnacentral:rRNA from 1 species
UACGGGGGGAGCAAGCGUUAAUCGGAAUUACUGGGCGUAAAGCGUGCGCAGGCGGCUUUGCAAGACAGAUGUGAAAUCCCCGGGCUUAACCUGGGAACUGCAUCCGAUACUGGAUGGCUUGAAUCCGGGAGAGGGAUGCGGAAUUCCAGGUGGUAGCGGGUGAAAUGACGUAGAGUAUCUGGAGGAACACCGGUGGCGAAGGCGGCAUCCUGGACCGGCAUUGACGCUGACUGAGCGAAAGCCAGGGGAGCAACGGG